UACGUAGGGUGCAAGCGUUGUCCGGAAUUAUUGGGCGUAAAGAGCUCGUAGGCGGUCUGUCGCGUCUGCUGUGAAAACUCAGGGCUUAACCCUGAGCUUGCAGUGGGUACGGGCAGACUAGAGUGCAGUAGGGGAGACUGGAAUUCCUGGUGUAGCGGUGAAAUGCGCAGAUAUCAGGAGGAAUACCGGUGGCGAAGGCGGGUCUCUGGGCUGUAACUGACGCUGAGGAGCGAAAGCGUGGGGAGCGAACAGG
rnacentral:rRNA from 1 species